CCUACGGGUGGCAGCAGUGGGGGAUAUUGCACAAUGGGGGGAACCCUGAUGCAGCGACGCCGCGUGGGUGAAGAAGCGCCUCGGCGCGUAAAGCCCUGUCAGCAGGGAAGAAAAUGACCGUACCUGAAGAAGAAGCCCCGGCUAACUACGUGCCAGCAGCCGCGGUUAUACGUAGGGGGCAAGCGUUAUCCGGAUUUACUGGGUGGAAAGGGGGCGCAGACGGGGAUGCAAGCCAGGAGUGAAAGCCCGGGGCCCAACCCCGGGACUGCUCUUGGAACUGCGUGGCUGGAGUGCAGGAGGGGCAGGCGGAAUUCCUGGUGUAGCGGUGAAAUGCGUAGAUAUCAGGAGGAACACCGGUGGCGAAGGCGGCCUGCUGGACUGCGACUGACGUUGAGGCCCGAAAGCGUGGGGAGCAAACAGGAUUAGAUACCCGGGUAGUC
rnacentral:rRNA from 1 species